GGUAAUGGAGCUCAGUGGUAGAGCAUUUGCCAAGCAAUGCACAAGGCCCUGGGUUCAAACCCCAGCAUCACAC
rnacentral:tRNA from 1 species